CACACACACACACAUUAAACUGUUGAAAAUACCAGGUCCAUGAAAAUACGAAUACAGUAUGGACGAUUUAGAUUUCUGCGUCAACGACGCAGAGAUCGAUAAUAGAAACGCAAAAUGCACUAUGUAUGCAAACAGAAGUCAGAGGAUAAAAUGAUUGCAUGUGGUGGUCCAAACUGUACAUGGGCCUACUAGGCCUAGUAAUACGUGGUACCACUACUUCAACUGCAUAGGCUUAACACCAAAUGAAAUAGCCUUCCUAGCGAUGGCCUGGGCUUGUAAACGGUGCGUAGUCGCUGCUUCAGCAUGAGCGGGUGACAGCAACCUACAGGGGCCUAGCUGAGAGAAACAGACGGGUUCCGUACCGUCUGUUAAAAAAAGAAAAAAACAGACUGAAAGGCCUGCAAGUGUUUACACCAAAGAGGAAAUUGGAGGUGCACUGAAAGCUUUAGAGAGUCACCAAUGGAAGUAAUAAUAAUAUUGUAAAUGUACAUGCAGAUACUGUACAAAAUUUU